GCCCUUAGAGUUGAUCCUGGCUCAGAAUGAACGCUGGCGGCAUGGAUUAGGCAUGCAAGUCGAACGGAGUCGCGGAGCUUGCUUUGCGAUUCAGUGGCGAAAGGGUGAGUAACACGUGAGUAACCUGCCCCCGAAUUCGGGACAGCCCCGGGAAACCGGGAUUAAUACCGGAUGGGUUCGGUCGGCCCCAUGGCCUUCCGAGCAAAGAUCCGUCGUUCGGGGAUGGGCUCGCGUCCGAUUAGCUUGUUGGUGGGGUAACGGCCCACCAAGGCGAUGACCGGUAGCUGGUCUGAGAGGAUGAUCAGCCACACUGGGACUGAGACACUGCCCAGACUCCUACGGGAGGCUGCAGUCGAGAAUCAUCCGCAAUGGGCGCAAGCCUGACGGUGCGAUGCCGCGUGAGGGAUGACGGCCUUCGGGUUGUAAACCUCUGUCACCCGGGACGAAGAACGUGACGGUACCGGGAGAGGAAGCCACGGCUAACUACGUGCCAGCAGCCGCGGUAAUACGUAGGUGGCGAGCGUUAUUCGGAUUCACUGGGCGUAAAGGGUCCGCAGGGGGUUUGCCAAGUCCGGUGUGAAAUCUCAUGGCUCAACUGUGAAACUGCAUUGGAUACUGGCGGACUGGAGUGUGCGAGAGGUGAGCGGAAUUCCUGGUGUAGCGGUGGAAUGCGUAGAUAUCAGGAAGAACACCGAUGGCGAAGGCAGCUCACUGGCGCAGCACUGACCCUCAGGGACGAAAGCGUGGGGAGCAAACAGGAUUAGAUACCCUGGUAGUCCACGCUGUAAACGUUGUGCACUAGAUGCAGGCGGAUCUGAUCCCGUCUGUGUCCCAGCUAACGCGAUAAGUGCACCGCCUGGGGACUACGGCCACAAGGCUAAACUCAAAG
rnacentral:rRNA from 1 species